ensembl:lncRNA
AAAACCUUCACAAAACAUGAAGAAUAACAGAAUAGGAUGCACAUAAUGCAUUUGGGAGAUUUCAAUCUCAGACUGCAUAGCAUCAAAAGAAAUGUGCCUCUUUUAAAAUAAAUGCAACAUAUUAGAAGGAGAGAGAUGAAUACUAGAAUUUAAGCACAGUUAAAAGACGUUUAUUACAGACAGUUAUCUAAUCUGGAAAAGAAUUAAGCAAUAUUUCUAGACAAACUUAAUUGAAUCCAGGAGGUAAUAACACUUGAAGUUCUUUGACUUGAAAAUCAAGUUGGGCAUUAGCAAUUGUUUGAAAUCACAAAGGACUAUGUUUUAAGUGGAGUGCAAUGGUGGCGUUUUUAAAUACAUGCAUGUAAGUAGCUGGUAUAGACGUUGCUUCAUAUUUUUCAGGUGAUUAGAUUCUGUUGCUUCAACAAGUCUGAGGGAGGUGUGUUCAAGAAAACUGAUGCAGACUUCAUUACUGGAAGCAAGUGUUGAUCAACUGAUACAGCAGACAGACAACAUUUCACUUGCAGAAUUGCAGUACAACAAAGAAGCUACAUCUUUCUGCUAGAAGAUUCUUCCUGGAAAAGAAUUGUAUAAGGAGAAAGGGAACUGAAAUAUAGCCAUGGAGCAAAGUCUGAACAAAUCUAAUGAGAACUGCAAUUGCAUCCUUGGUGAGCAAGGUAAUUAUUAUCCUAAGCAGAUAUUCUGUCAGGUACAUUUUCACCUGAGUGGUCCUUAGUAACCUUAGGAACUGGAGUUGAUACAAGAGUCCGUGCUUUCUGAGAAACCAGUACUUCCAGCAGCAAUCUAAGUGGUCAGAGCUGAGCUUGCGCCCUGCUGCCCACUUGAGACCUGGUAGCACACUGUGGCAAGGUUGCAGGCUAUCAAAAACUUGAGAUAUUUCUGCUGCAUUUUUUUAAAAAGCUCACAGAAUAAACUUAGAUAAAAAAAUCCAGUUAAGAAGAAAUGAUGAAUUAUACACAAAAGAUAAGGAAAAGUAAGCCAUUAUUGCACUGACUUUUAAAAGUGUGGAAGGUAGAGAUCUGCCUUCUCUAGGAAUCAGAUUACUGAGGCACUAAGAUGAGGAAUUAAGAACAGAAUAGAUAACAGUUGAAGAGGUUAUUAAAAGAUUACAGAGCCUAGAAACUGGUAUAAUAGAACAAUGUCUACCCAACUUGUAUAUCAGAUUUCUAAAGCAAUCUAGGAGGACAUGCAAGAAGUCUUUCUUGAAUGCACACAGUAUUGCAUUAUUUGACAAAAAUAUGAUUCUGAAAAAUGAUGAAUUUCACUGAGUAAAAGUUUGCCUCUGGAGAUUAAAACUCCUAAAUAUGUUUUUAGGUUUAUGAAUGAGAGAAUCAGGUAUUCAAGUAUGCUUGAACUAGUAUGUUUGUUCAAGAAAACAAGCAUACUUACAAUACACAGUGGAUAUAGGUGAGAUUUAGUUGUUCAUAUAUGUAUGUACACAUGCACACACACACAUAUAAAUGUAUACAAUUUUUGUAGCUUUCAAAAAUAGUAAAAAAAAACCUUUCUGCAAAGCUUAAUUUAAAAAGCCAAUAUUUCAAUUUUAUUAUGAGCCUUGCAAUACAUAGCAGGUACCAAAAUCAAAAUCUUAUCUAAAAUAUUAACUGAAAUAUAUAUAUAUACAUACAUAUGUACAUAUAUAUAUGUAUAUAUAUAAACUCUCACAAAAAGUUGAAAGCAAGAAACAAAUGCAGAGUAAAGGCUCUGAAUGUCAAACAGAUCCUCCUUAAAUAAAAUAUCUCAUCAGUUCAGUUCUAAUAUGAUUAUUUUUGGAAGGCUUACCCUACUUUUUUUUUUAUUAUUAUUAACUGUUAGGAUUAGUUAUAGCACAAUCUAUUCACCCAAGGCCAUUUUGCUGACAGAAAAUGCAAAUGAGAUUAAAGUGCUUUUUUGUGUGCCUGUCUGUGACCCACCGAGGACUUGACAGUUCAGUGACUGUUUUGUUCCUGCUCCUGUAG